UAGGGAAUAUUGCAAAAUGGGCGAAAGCCCGAUGCAGCAACGCCGCGUGGGCGAUGAAGGCCUUCGGGUCGUAAAGCCCUUUUUGAGGGGAUGAGGAAGGACAGUACCCUCAGAAUAAGCCUCGGCUAACUACGUGCCAGCAGCCGCGGUAAAACGUAGGAGGCGAGCGUUAUCCGGAUUUACUGGGCGUAAAGCGCGUGCAGGCGGAUUGGAGAGUUGGAUGUGAAAGCUCCCGGCUUAACUGGGAGAGGUCGUUCAAUACUUCCAGUCUUGAGUGCAGUAGAGNGAAGUGGAAUUCCGGGUGUAGUGGUGAAAUGCGUAGAUAUCCGGAGGAACACCAGUGGCGAAAGCGGCUUCCUGGACUGUAACUGACGCUGAGGCACGAAAGCGUGGGUAGCAAACA
rnacentral:rRNA from 1 species